UACGAAGGGUGCAAGCGUUACUCGGAAUUACUGGGCGUAAAGGGCGUGUAGGUGGCCAACUAAGUCCGACGUGAAAUCCCCAGGCUUAACCUGGGAACUGCGUCGGAUACUGGAUGGCUUGAAUUCGGGAGAGGGAUGCAGAAUUCCAGGUGUAGCGGUGAAAUGCGUAGAUAUCUGGAGGAACACCGGUGGCGAAGGCGGCAUCCUGGACCGGCAUUGACGCUGAGGCGCGAAAGCUAGGGGAGCAAACGGG
rnacentral:rRNA from 1 species